UUCAGCACUCAUCAACUUAUUUCCGUACCUUUAACCCUUUUACAGAUGUGCCCCAGACACCAGAAGAUGCAGCUUCCAUUUUUGAAGGGCUGCAUUUACCGCAUGCCCCCUGGACUGUAAGACUAACUGGAUUUUGGAGCACUGGAAGGUUAACAAGUUUGAGUGCAAGAAAAGCCCCUGUAAGAGCGUGAUAAAUCCUAACAGCUUCAGUUUCUGACGUGUUUUCAGUACCACUGGAACAUUCCAUGGCCCAGGGCACCCAAAGUGGCAGUUCCUGGAGUUGGCACAUUCGUAUUUGAGCGUGGAAGUAUUUCUCCAGGGACCAAGCAGAUACUGAGUUAAGAGCGAAGGAGGAAUGCUGCCCUGUUUAUGCCACGUGCUGCAAAGGCUUAAUGAGGUGAUAUAUGUGAAAGGGAUUUGGAAACUGAAAAGUACCUUGCAAAUCUUUAAGAUUCUUAAAUUAUGAUGAUCUCGGAAAGGAUUCAACUCCAAAAUGCCCUAGACAUUUUUCAUGCUUGGGCAACCAGAACACUUCCAUGUGCCACAGAGCUGGGUCCCAAGCACCACAUGGACAGAAGCUCCUUUGUUGGGGAGCCCACCCUACGUAUCUCUUCACCUGCCUGUUGAUUUG